rnacentral:rRNA from 1 species
CCUACGCGAGGCAGCAGUGAGGAAUAUUGGUCAAUGGCCGUAAGGCUGAACCCGCCAAGUAGCGUGAGGGAAGACUGCCCUAUGGGUUGUAAACCUCUUUUAUGCGGGGAUAAAGGUGUCCACGUGUGGAUGUUUGCAGGUACCGCAUGAAUAAGGACCGGCUAAUUCCGUGCCAGCAGCCGCGGUACUACGGAAAGUCCGGUCGUUAUCCGGAUUUGUUUGGUUUAAAGGGAGCGUAGUCCGGUCUUUAAAUGUGCCGUGAAAUUUUGUGGCGCAACCAUGAGAGUGCGGGGCGAACUGGAGACCGUGAGAGCGCUGAAGGCAGGCGGAAGUCGUGGUGUAGCGGUGAAAUGCUUAGAGAUCACGAAGAACCCCGAGUGCGAGGGCAGCCUGCCGCAGCGUUACUGACGCUGUAGCUCGAAAGCGCGGGUAUCGAACAGGAGUAGAUACCCUUGUAGUC